rnacentral:rRNA from 1 species
UACGUAGGGCGCAAGCGUUAUCCGGAAUUAUUGGGCGUAAAGAGCUCGUAGGCGGUUUGUCGCGUCUGCCGUGAAAGUCCGGGGCUCAACUCCGGAUCUGCGGUGGGUACGGGCAGACUAGAGUGCGGUAGGGGAGACUGGAAUUCCUGGUGUAGCGGUGAAAUGCGCAGAUAUCAGGAGGAACACCGGUGGCGAAGGCGGUGGUCUGGGCCUGAACUGACGCUGAGGAGCGAAAGCGUGGGGAGCGAACAGG